rnacentral:lncRNA from 1 species
AUCAGAAACAAGUCUCACGAUUCUGGAGACAAGAAAGUCCACAAUCAAGGUGCUGGCAGAUCCGGUGACAGAAACUCUUAUCAACAGAGCAAACAGACAACCUAUAGAAUGGGAGAAAAUAUUUGCAAGAUAUGCAUCUGACAAAGUUCUGACAUCCAACAUCUAUAAGGAGCUUGAACAAAUUCAUAAGGAAAAAACAAACAACCCCAUUGAAUUUUCUGAUGACUAAUAAUGCUGAACACAUUUUCAUCUAAUAUCAUUUGUUUUAUGACUGAAACAAG